AUUGAACGCUGGCGGCAUGCCUUACACAUGCAAGUCGAACGGCAGCACGGGUGCUUGCACCUGGUGGCGAGUGGCGAACGGGUGAGUAAUACAUCGGAACAUGCCCUGUAGUGGGGGAUAGCCCGGCGAAAGCCGGAUUAAUACCGCAUACGAUCUACGGAUGAAAGCGGGGGACCUUCGGGCCUCGCGCUAUAGGGUUGGCCGAUGGCUGAUUAGCUAGUUGGUGGGGUAAAGGCCUACCAAGGCGACGAUCAGUAGCUGGUCUGAGAGGACGACCAGCCACACUGGGACUGAGACACGGCCCAGACUCCUACGGGAGGCAGCAGUGGGGAAUUUUGGACAAUGGGCGAAAGCCUGAUCCAGCAAUGCCGCGUGUGUGAAGAAGGCCUUCGGGUUGUAAAGCACUUUUGUCCGGAAAGAAAUCCUUGGCCCUAAUACGGUCGGGGGAUGACGGUACCGGAAGAAUAAGCACCGGCUAACUACGUG
rnacentral:rRNA from 1 species